UACGGAGGAUGCAAGCGUUAUCCGGAAUGAUUGGGCGUAAAGCGUCCGCAGGUGGUUUUGUAAGUCUGUUGUUAAAGCGUCAUGCUCAACAUGAUUAAAGCAAUGGAAACUACAAGACUAGAGUGCGUUAGGGGUGAAGGGAAUUCCUGGUGUAGCGGUGAAAUGCGUAGAGAUCAGGAAGAACACCGGUGGCGAAGGCGCUUCACUAUGCCGCAACUGACACUGAGGGACGAAAGCUAGGGGAGCGAAUGGG
rnacentral:rRNA from 1 species